AGAGUUUGAUCCUGGCUCAGGAUGAACGUUGGCGGUGUGCCUAAUACAUGCAAGUCGAACGGAGUUAGUAGCAAUGCUGGCUCAGUGGCGAACGGGUGAGUAACGCGUUGGUGAUCUGCCUUGAAGUGUGGAAUAACGUUUCGAAAGGAACGCUAAUACCGCAUGUGCUCUCGAUUUUCAGAAAGUUGAGAGUAAAGGAUUUAUUCGCUUCAAGAGGAGCCUGCGUCCCAUCAGCUGGUUGGUAGGGUAACGGCCUACCAAGGCUAUGACGGGUAGGGGACCUGAGAGGGUGGCCCCCCACAAUGGAACUGAAACACGGUCCAUACACCUACGGGUGGCAGCAGUAGGGAAUAUUAGAAAUGGACGAAAGUCUGAUCUAGCAACACCGCGUGUGCGAAGAAGGCCUUCGGGUCGUAAAGCACUUUUUGGAAGGAAUAGGAAGGAAUGUACUUCCAGAAUAAGUCUCGGCUAACUACGUGCCAGCAGCCGCGGUAACACGUAGGAGGCAAACGUUAUCCGGAUUUACUGGGCGUAAAGCGCGUGUAGGUGGUACUGUAAGUAGGGCGUGAAAGCUCCUGGCUCAACUGGGAGAGGCCGUUCUAAACUACAGAACUAGAGGAUGGUAGAGGGAGGUGGAAUUCCAGGUGUAGCGGUGGAAUGCGCAGAUAUCUGGAGGAACACCGGUGGCGAAGGCGGCCUCCUGGACCAUUCCUGACACUCAGACGCGAAAGCUAGGGUAGCAAACGGGAUUAGAGACCCCGGUAGUCCUAGCCCUAAACGAUGUAGACUAGGGCGUCGGGAAGCUUAAUCGCUUUCGGGUGUU
rnacentral:rRNA from 1 species